rnacentral:rRNA from 1 species
UACCCAGGCUUGAACAGCGAGUGACCACGUCCGAAAGGGCGCUUCCGCAAGGACACUCGUAGAGGUGCUGCAUGGCUGUCGUCAGCUCGUGUCGUGAGAUGUUGGGUUAAGUCCCGCAACGAGCGCAACCCUUGUCUACUGUUGCCAUCAGGUUAUGCUGGGCACUCUGUAGAGACUGCCGGUGAUAAACCGGAGGAAGGUGGGGAUGACGUCAAGUCAGCAUGGCCUUUAUGUCUGGGGCUACACACGUGCUACAAUGGCAGAUACAAACCGUCGCGAGACCGCAAGGUGGAGCUAAUCGGAGAAAGUCUGUCUCAGUUCGGAUCGCAGGCUGCAACUCGCCUGCGUGAAGUUGGAAUCGCUAGUAAUCGCGGAUCAGCACGCCGCGGUGAAUACGUUCCCGGGCCUUGUACACACCGCCCGUCACAUCACGAAAGCCGGUUGUACUAGAAGUCGCCAUACUAACCCGCAAGGGAGGGAGGCGCCUAAGGUAUGGUCGGUGAUUGGGGUGAAGUCGUAACAAGGUAACCAAGGG